rnacentral:rRNA from 1 species
CGGACGGGUGAGUAACGCGUGAGAAUCUGCCUUGGGGUCGGGGACAACCACUGGAAACGGUGGCUAAUACCGGAUACGCCGAAUGGUAAAAGAUUUAUUGCCCUAAGAGGAGCUCGCGUCUGAUUAGCUAGUUGGUGAGGUAAGAGCUCACCAAGGCAGCGAUCAGUAGCUGGUCUGAGAGGACGAUCAGCCACACUGGGACUGAGACACGGCCCAGACUCCUACGGGAGGCAGCAGUGGGGAAUUUUCCGCAAUGGGCGAAAGCCUGACGGAGCAAGACCGCGUGAGGGAGGAAGGCUCUUGGGUUGUAAACCUCUUUUCUCAGGGAAGAAGCUCUGACGGUACCUGAGGAAUCAGCCUCGGCUAACUCCGUGCCAGCAGCCGCGGUAAUACGGAGGAGGCAAGCGUUAUCCGGAAUUAUUGGGCGUAAAGCGUCCGCAGGUGGCAAUUCAAGUCUGCUGUCAAAGCACGGGGCUUAACUCCGUUAAGGCAGUGGAAACUGAAUAGCUAGAGUGCCGUAGGGGUAGAGGGAAUUCCCGGUGUAGCGGUGAAAUGCGUAGAGAUCGGGAAGAACAUCGGUGGCGAAAGCGCUCUACUGGACGGCAACUGACACUCAGGGACGAAAGCUAGGGGAGCGAAUGGGAUUAGAUACCCCAGUAGUC